rnacentral:rRNA from 1 species
GACGAACGCUGGCGGCGUGCUUAACACAUGCAAGUCGAACGGACAGGCCCUGCUCUUGUGGGGUGCUCGAGUGGCGAACGGGUGAGUAACACGUGAGUAACCUGCCCUUGACUUUGGGAUAACUUCAGGAAACUGGGGCUAAUACCGGAUAGGAGCUCCUGCUGCAUGGUGGGGGUUGGAAAGUUUCGGCGGUUGGGGAUGGACUCGCGGCUUAUCCGCUUGUUGGUGGGGUAGUGGCUUACAAAGGCUUUGACGGGUAGCCGGCCUGAGAGGGUGACCGGCCACAUUGGUACUGAGAGACGGCCCAGACUCCUACGGGAGGCAGCAGUGGGGAAUAUUGCACAAUGGGCGGAAGCCUGAGGCAGCAACGCCGCGUGCGGGAUGACGGCCUUCGGGUUGUAAACCGCUGUCUCCGGUGACGAAGCGGGAGUGACGGUAAUUGGUAAAGAAGCACCGGCUAACUACGUG